AACUCACGGCUCGCGCGGUGGCCGCUGGCCGGUGGCGAGCGCUGCCCUCCGCCGUCCUCACCUUGAACCUGAGUGCCCAGCCGGCUUUUGUCUACCGUGGUCAGCAGUUCGUGGUCUCGCGGUAGCGUUCUCACUUCCGAAGCAAGGGUUCGAUUCCCGGCGGGGUCAAGGAUUUUUACCUGCCUCGAGAUGACUGGGUGUUGUGUCGUCUUCAUGAUCAUCAUUCAUCCUCCGCUAGGACCUUGCCUAGUACAUCAGUGCGGGUUUCCCGCAUCGUCCCCUAUGCUCUUUCAAGGAGUAUGGGACUUCAUCAUCAUCACGUCUACGAUGUCUAACGUUUCUGACUGCAGUUUUAUUGUGUGUCCUACAAGCUUGUGCGUGAGGGACUUCGUGAAAUCCAGUACUAGCUUCAUGGGAAGACUCUGUCUGUGGAUCUUUAGUUGGUUUUGGACAACAGGUGCAAUCGGAUUCAGCUGUGUCAGCUUUCUUUUAUCCAUGGUAUCCAGAGUUAUACCUCUAUUUUUAAGUAUGCUUUGCGCUUUUGUCUGGAAUCUGUUUGCUGGGUCUGGUUUUAAUUUUGUAAUUUUAUUUUGUAAGAUGAAUUCCUGUGUUUUUUAAUCGUAUUGUUCUUUUUCUAUAAGUAUUACUGUGUUCCCGUUGUCAAUA